rnacentral:rRNA from 1 species
CCUACGGGUGGCAGCAGUGGGGAAUAUUGGGCAAUGGAGGAAACUCUGAACCAGCAACGCCGCGUGAAUGAUGAAGGUCUUCGGAUUGUAAAGUUCUUUUCUAAGGGAAGAAGAAAGUGACGGUACCUUAGGAAUAAGCCUCGGCUAACUACGUGCUAGCAGCCGCGGUAAUACGUAGGAGGCGGGCGUUAUCCGGAAUGAAGGGGCGUAAGGGGUGCGUAGGUGGGUUGGCAAGUUAGUAGCGAAACUCCAAGGCUCAACCUUGGAACUACUACUAAAACUGUUGGACUUGAGUGCUGGAGGGGCAAGAGGAAUGCGUGGUGUAGCGGUGGAAUGCGUAGAUAUUAGGAGGAACACCAGUGGCGAAGGCGGGUUGCGAGACUGUAACUGACGCUGAGGCACGAAAGCGUGGGGAGCAAACAGGAUUAGAUACCCUAGUAGUC